UAUAUUUGUAGACUCCAUUUUAUUUUCCUCUGAUCAGCAUAUCUCUCAGGCUAAUGACAUUUCCAUUACUCGCUCACCUCCACCUUCACCUUCUAUUCCAGACCCAAUGCUUUCUUCUUCACCUAUUUCAUCUUUGCAUGAUCAUUCUUCCCCUCACAGUGAACCUUCUGUCAACAUUGAACCUAGAAAAUCUGAGAGACAAAAUAAAGGGGUUAUACCUUCUUAUCUCCAAGAUUUUUUUUGUAACUCUAUAUUUAUUAGUCAUGUGACCGAUUCAUGUUUUGCUAGCUCUUGUGCACCAACUGUUCUCUCCUAUAACGCCUUGUCCCCUGCAAAUCAAGUCAUACUUCAGUCUGUUUCUAACAUCUCUGAGCCUUCGAAUUAUGAAGAGGCUUGCACUCAUGUAGGUUGGAGAAAAGCAAUAGAAGAUGAAGUUACAACUUUACAGACUAAUCAUACUUGGGAUAUUGUUGUUCUUCCAUCAGAUAGAAGGGCUUUACCUUGUAAAUGGGUUUACAAAGUCAAACAACAUGUUGAUGGUAACCUUGAAAGAUUAAAAGCAAGGUUAGUUAUCCCGGUUGAUAUACAAAAGGAAGGGAUAGAUUGUCAUGAAACUUUUUUCCCAGUGGUAAAAAUGACCACUAACAGGUGUUUAUUGGAUGUUGCAGCUAUAAAUGGAUGGUAUAUUUCAUAAUUUGAUGUAAACAAUGCCUUAUUGCAAGGAGAUUUACAAGAAGAAGUUUACAUGAAAUUCCCUAUUGGUUUGGUGCCACCUGAUCCUAAUUUGGUUUGAAAAUUGAACAAGUCUUUAUAUGGUCUGAAACAAGAUUCCAGACAGUGAUAUGCUCGGCUUGCCAGAGCACUCAGUUUCAAAGGCUUCAUUGCAUCACUCAAUGAUUAUUCUUUGUUUUUCAAGAAAUCGGGGGAUACCAUAGCUAUUGUUGUUGUUUAUGUGGAUGGCAUAUUGAUCACAGGGGAUGCUUCUACAGAAAUAGCAGAUCUAAAGGAUUUUCUUCAUUUUGAAUUCAAGAUAAAAAAAAUCUGAGAUCUUUACAUUAUUUUCUUUCUAUUGAGGUUUUAAGGGAAGACCAGGGACUAAUUAUCCGUCAAAGAAGGUAUACCUCUGAUUUUGUCAUUGAAUUUGAUGUGUCUCAUAUGUCUUCUAUCUCUUCACCUUUGGAUCCAUCUAUCAAAUUGGUAGCAAAAUCCGAUGAGUACAUGGAAGAUCCUAUUCUAUACAAGCAUCUUGUGGGCAAACUUAACUAUUUGACAUACACAAGACCAGACAUUAGUCAUGCAUCGUUAAUUCUUAGCCAAUUGGAGCUUUAAGAGUAGUUCGUUACCUUAAACAGUUUCCCGCUCGGGGAUUAUUUCUAUCUUCUUCUCCAUCUUUCUCCAUCAGUGCAUUUUGCGAUGCUGACUGGGCUUCAUGUCGAGAUUCGCGCAGAUCCAUCGGUGGAUUCUUUAUUAGUUUUGGUGGCCCACCUAUUUCUUGGAAAUCAAAGAAACAAAUCUCCAUCUCCUUGUCAUCUGCUGAAGCCGAAUAUAGAUCCAUGAGGCGUCUCGUAGCUGAGUUGACUUGGCUGACUCGUUUCCUUACUGAUUUAUCAGUUCCAUC
rnacentral:lncRNA from 1 species